rnacentral:rRNA from 1 species
UACGGGGGGAGCAAGCGUUGUUCGGAUUUACUGGGCGUAAAGGGCGCGUAGGCGGCCAGCGCAAGUCAGUUGUGAAAUCUCCGGGCUUAACUCGGAACGGUCAACUGAUACUGCGCGGCUAGAGUGCAGAAGGGGCAACUGGAAUUCUCGGUGUAGCGGUGAAAUGCGUAGAUAUCGAGAGGAACACCUGCGGCGAAGGCGGGUUGCUGGGCUGACACUGACGCUGAGGAGCGAAAGCGUGGGGAGCGAACAGG